GGGUUGUGAGGUUAAGCGACUAAGCGUACACGGUGGAUGCCCUGGCAGUCAGAGGCGAUGAAGGACGUGCUAAUCUGCGAUAAGCGUCGGUAAGGUGAUAUGAACCGUUAUAACCGGCGAUUUCCGAAUGGGGAAACCCAGUGUGAUUCGUCACACUAUCAUUACGUGAAUACAUAGCGUAAUGAAGCGAACCGGGGGAACUGAAACAUCUAAGUACCCCGAGGAAAAGAAAUCAACCGAGAUUCCCCCAGUAGCGGCGAGCGAACGGGGAGCAGCCCAGAGUCUGAAUCAGCUUGUGUGUUAGUGGAACGGUCUGGAAAGUCCGACGGUACAGGGUGAUAGUCCCGUACACCAAAAUGCACAGGUUGUGAACUCGAAGAGUAGGGCGGGACACGUGGUAUCCUGUCUGAAUAUGGGGGGACCAUCCUCCAAGGCUAAAUACUCCUGACUGACCGAUAGUGAACCAGUACCGUGAGGGAAAGGCGAAAAGAACCCCGGCGAGGGGAGUGAAAAAGAACCUGAAACCGUGUACGUACAAGCAGUGGGAGCCUCUUUAUGGGGUGACUGCGUACCUUUUGUAUAAUGGGUCAGCGACUUAUAUUCUGUAGCAAGGUUAACCGUAUAGGGGAGCCGAAGGGAAACCGAGUCUUAACUGGGCGUUAAGUUGCAGGGUAUAGACCCGAAACCCGGUGAUCUAGCCAUGGGCAGGUUGAAGGUUGGGUAACACUAACUGGAGGACCGAACCGACUAAUGUUGAAAAAUUAGCGGAUGACUUGUGGCUGGGGGUGAAAGGCCAAUCAAACCGGGAGAUAGCUGGUUCUCCCCGAAAGCUAUUUAGGUAGCGCCUCGUGAAUUCAUCUUCGGGGGUAGAGCACUGUUUCGGCUAGGGGGUCAUCCCGACUUACCAACCCGAUGCAAACUGCGAAUACCGAAGAAUGUUAUCACGGGAGACACACGGCGGGUGCUAACGUCCGUCGUGAAGAGGGAAACAACCCAGACCGCCAGCUAAGGUCCCAAAGUCAUGGUUAAGUGGGAAACGAUGUGGGAAGGCACAGACAGCCAGGAUGUUGGCUUAGAAGCAGCCAUCAUUUAAAGAAAGCGUAAUAGCUCACUGGUCGAGUCGGCCUGCGCGGAAGAUGUAACGGGGCUAAACCAUGCACCGAAGCUGCGGCAGCGACACUAUGUGUUGUUGGGUAGGGGAGCGUUCUGUAAGCCGUUGAAGGUGUACUGUGAGGUAUGCUGGAGGUAUCAGAAGUGCGAAUGCUGACAUAAGUAACGAUAAUGCGGGUGAAAAACCCGCACGCCGGAAGACCAAGGGUUCCUGUCCAACGUUAAUCGGGGCAGGGUGAGUCGACCCCUAAGGCGAGGCCGAAAGGCGUAGUCGAUGGGAAACAGGUUAAUAUUCCUGUACUUGGUGUUACUGCGAAGGGGGGACGGAGAAGGCUAUGUUAGCCGGGCGACGGUUGUCCCGGUUUAAGCAUGUAGGCGGAGGUUCCAGGUAAAUCCGGUACCUUUUAACGCUGAGGUGUGAUGACGAGGCACUACGGUGCUGAAGUAACAAAUGCCCUGCUUCCAGGAAAAGCCUCUAAGCAUCAGGUAACACGAAAUCGUACCCCAAACCGACACAGGUGGUCAGGUAGAGAAUACCAAGGCGCUUGAGAGAACUCGGGUGAAGGAACUAGGCAAAAUGGUGCCGUAACUUCGGGAGAAGGCACGCUGAUAUGUAGGUGAAGCGGUUUACCCGUGGAGCUGAAAUCAGUCGAAGAUACCAGCUGGCUGCAACUGUUUAUUAAAAACACAGCACUGUGCAAACACGAAAGUGGACGUAUACGGUGUGACGCCUGCCCGGUGCCGGAAGGUUAAUUGAUGGGGUUAUCCGUAAGGAGAAGCUCUUGAUCGAAGCCCCGGUAAACGGCGGCCGUAACUAUAACGGUCCUAAGGUAGCGAAAUUCCUUGUCGGGUAAGUUCCGACCUGCACGAAUGGCGUAAUGAUGGCCAGGCUGUCUCCACCCGAGACUCAGUGAAAUUGAACUCGCUGUGAAGAUGCAGUGUACCCGCGGCAAGACGGAAAGACCCCGUGAACCUUUACUAUAGCUUGACACUGAACACUGGUCCUUGAUGUGUAGGAUAGGUGGGAGGCUUUGAAGUGUGGACGCCAGUCUGCAUGGAGCCAUCCUUGAAAUACCACCCUUUAAUGGCUGGUGUUCUAACGUGGACCCGUAAUCCGGGUUGCGGACAGUGUCUGGUGGGUAGUUUGACUGGGGCGGUCUCCUCCUAAAGAGUAACGGAGGAGCACGAAGGUUAGCUAAUCCUGGUCGGACAUCAGGAGGUUAGUGCAAAGGCAUAAGCUAGCUUGACUGCGAGAGUGACGGCUCGAGCAGGUGCGAAAGCAGGUCUUAGUGAUCCGGUGGUUCUGAAUGGAAGGGCCAUCGCUCAACGGAUAAAAGGUACUCCGGGGAUAACAGGCUGAUACCGCCCAAGAGUUCAUAUCGACGGCGGUGUUUGGCACCUCGAUGUCGGCUCAUCACAUCCUGGGGCUGAAGUAGGUCCCAAGGGUAUGGCUGUUCGCCAUUUAAAGUGGUACGCGAGCUGGGUUUAGAACGUCGUGAGACAGUUCGGUCCCUAUCUGCCGUGGGCGCUGGAGAAUUGAGGGGGGCUGCUCCUAGUACGAGAGGACCGGAGUGGACGCAUCACUGGUGUUCGGGUUGUCAUGCCAAUGGCAUUGCCCGGUAGCUAAAUGCGGAAGAGAUAAGUGCUGAAAGCAUCUAAGCACGAAACUUGCCCCGAGAUGAGUUCUCCCUGAGACUUUAAGUCUCCUGAAGGAACGUUAAAGACGAUGACGUUGAUAGGUCGGGUGUGUAAGUGUAGCGAUACAUUGAGCUAACCGAUACUAAUGAACCGUGAGGCUUAACCUUACAACGCCGAAG
rnacentral:rRNA from 1 species